GCUGGCUGAUGGUAAAAACAGGCAGCUGCACUGUGGAGAUGUAGUUGUCACUUACACAUGGUGAGGAAGAGGGAGACAAAGACUUCCUGCCUGUCAGGUUUUGGUGGGAACCAUUCCAGGGAUGGGAGAUGCUCUGGAGAAGGGGCCACGUCUAUGGGUACCAGCACCAGGCUUUGUGUAACCCAAGUGAAAACAGCAAAAGAGCAUUUCAGGAGACAGCGGGGAAACUGCUGGAAGCCAAAAUCAUGUCGCUCUGCUGGGCUGCACAGACCAUGGCUGGGAACCCAAAUAUUGUCCCAUGUCUGUGAGACUGGGAGGGCUGGAUCAAAUAAUAAAGAGAAAUAUAAUUAUUUUUUCCCCCCCCCA
rnacentral:lncRNA from 1 species